AUGUAGCUGACGAGUACCAGAUAGGACGAAACGCGCUUCCUAGAU
rnacentral:hammerhead_ribozyme from 1 species